UUUCUUUAUUUUUUCUGUAAAACAGAACCAAAUACCCUAUUUCCCUAUCUACUCCAUCCUAUGAAUUGGUGAGGUUCCUUGAAAUAAUGCCAUGUAAACAUGAGGGCUUAUGGGUUGUCACAAUGUCAUAUCAUGGUUGGUCAUAGCUUUAUGAUUAAUCCAACAGAUAUUUUUGUCAGAUCCUGUUUAAGAUGUCUGAAUACAAGAUAACUUGAGAAGACUUCAUUGUUCUCUUCACUGACUUAUUUAUCUGCUAUUGAUUAAGAUAGUCUUCAAGAGCUGCGAUCUGCUGAAUGAGGACAGAAUGCCUGGGGAGGCGCAGCCAUCUUGGACCCCAGAGGGUAGAAGGCCAGGACUGAGGAGGAUGAAACAAGAAGACAGAAGAAUGUGUCUUCCUCUCCCAACCAGGAGAUAACCAUACCAGCCACGAGUACCUGAGAUGAACACAAGCUUCUGCUUUGUUUGACUCACUCUUAUUUUUGAUUUUCUGUCACUCGCAGAUGAAUUUAAUCUGCGUUAAUACAGACUUUACUUAUA